UACGAAGGGGGCUAGCGUUGCUCGGAAUUACUGGGCGUAAAGCGCACGUAGGCGGCUUUCUAAGUCGGGGGUGAAAUCCUGGAGCUCAACUCCAGAACUGCCUUCGAUACUGGAAAGCUCGAGUCCGGGAGAGGUGAGUGGAACUGCGAGUGUAGAGGUGAAAUUCGUAGAUAUUCGCAAGAACACCAGUGGCGAAGGCGGCUCACUGGCCCGGUACUGACGCUGAUGCGCGAAAGCGUGGGGAGCAAACGGG
rnacentral:rRNA from 1 species